UUUGCAGAAGCUUGAAUUGUUUGCUGUGUGCGGGUGGCUCCUGACAAGCUUUUGCCAAAACAUGGACCCAGCAGAGAUCAUCCAGAUCAAGGAGCACUGCUGGGGCGACGGCAAGAACAACUCUCACAAAUAUGAGACCCUCCGGGCACUUACCUACUCCCUCCAACCACAGUCCAACUUCAACCCAGGAGCUGCCAAGUCCCAUCGCCCAGUGCUACCGGUGUCGCUGUAGUUCCUCCAGGGAACCCAAGAUCUCAGCCCCCGAGCGAUAUGACGCCCACCCGGGAGGAUGCAAGGGGUUCCUCACUCAGUGUUCUCUGGUGUUUGAGCUACAGUCCUCCUCGUUCUACACAGAUUGGGCCAUGGUCACCUACAUCUCUCUACUCUCAACAAGGCCCUGGCGUGGGCAACGGCUGUGUGGGAACAGCUGCCACCAUCCUGCAGCUCCACAUUAGCCUUCACUGCCGAGCUGCAACGAGUCUUCGACCACCCAGUGUUAUGGGAUUUUGAUGAAUAAUGACUAAAUGAUGUAUACAUUUAGCUUAACUAUAACUAAACAGAAUACUGCUGUUACUGUAUGAAUCUUAUUAUAAUCAUAGUACUGGAUAUAAUGUGUGUAAUUAGAACAAGGACUCUGUUCCUUGUUAGAAACUAAUGGAGUUAUCGUCAGACCGGCUGGAAUAUUGUGUUCCUUUACAGGACAUCCUGUCUCUACCCAGGGAGGGGAUAGACCUUGGGCUAGUAGUAGAUUAUUUAACAGGUGGUAGACAAUGUGGGAAGGCUUGUGAACUAUACAUUGUAUCGGAGUGGAGCAAGGACAUUUUAAAACCUAUGUCAUUUUUAGUAUAUAACCUUAUGUAAAUUGUACUAUGAUCAGUACUCUUGAGAAUAAACGCUAUUGAUUGAUUUUGA